rnacentral:ncRNA from 19 species
AAAACGGAAUAUAAACAAACUCGUAUAAGCUUUGAAUAAGGCAAGGCGUUUCUACCGGAAACCUUAAAUUUCCGUCUAUGAGUGAAUUUGAUAUACUA